GACAGAGGUGGCAAGCGUUGCUCGGAGUUACUGGGCAUAAAGGGCGCGUAGGCGGUCGUGCACGUCGAGGGUGAAAUCCCCGGGCUUAACCCGGGAACUGCCUUUGAUACGGCGCGACUCGAGUGCGGGAGGGGAGAGUGGAACUCCUGGUGGAGCGGUGAAAUGCGUAGAUAUCAGGAGGAACGCCGGUGGCGAAAGCGACUCUCUGGUCCGCAACUGACGCUGAGGCGCGAAAGCUAGGGGAGCAAACGGGAUUAGAUACCCCGGUAGUCCUAGCCCUAAACUAUGAGCACUAGGUAGCGGCAGGUCCGACUUGUCGCUGCUGAAGCAAAUGUAUUAAGUGCUCCGCCUGGGGAGUAUGGCCGCAAGGCUAAA
rnacentral:rRNA from 1 species